rnacentral:tRNA from 1 species
GGUUUUGUAGCUCAGUGGUACAGCACUCAUCUGUCAAAUGAAAGGUCCUGGAUUCCACCCCCAGCAACACUG